GGCUAUUAACCACAUAAAGACGGAGUUCCUGUUUACCGUGUUAGUCUCAAUGCCAGACAUGCACAGACCAUUUAUAUCCGCGUACAAAACUGAGUUACUGUGGUGCAUCUCUGAAGAAUAGAAACUGUAAAGAUGCCAGAAUUAACUGGACAGCUUGUAUGUUGAGACAGGCCAUGUCUCGUCCCACUGAUGAGACGGCAGGAGACCUGCCUGUGAAAGAUAUAGGUCUAAACCUCUCUGGAAUGGGAGGGUUACAAGAAACUUCAACAACAAGGACAAUGAGGUCUCGCCAGGCAGUGUCACGUAUCAGUCGUGAGGAACUGGAAGACAGAUUUUUGCGUCUGCAUGAUGAGAACAUUUUGCUUAAACAGCAUGCCCGCAAGCAAGAGGAUAAAAUUAAAAGAAUGGCCACCAAGUUAAUACGGCUAGUUAAUGACAAGAAAAGAUAUGAGCGGGUUGGUGGCGGCCCCAAGCGGCUAGGACGAGAUGUGGAAAUGGAAGAAAUGAUGGAGCAGCUGCAGGAGAAAGUUCAUGAGCUUGAAAGACAGAAUGAAGUCCUCAAGAACAGACUCAUUUCAGCCAAACAGCAACUUCAAAUCCAGGGUCACAGGCAAACGCCGUAUAAUUAUGUGCAAUCUCGUGUUAACACGGGGCGUCGAAAAGUGCAUGAAAAUGCAGGCUUACAGGCAUGCCCCAGGAAAGGUAUUAGAUUCCAAGAUGUCGAUGUAGCAGAAACUCUACAACCCAUGCUUACAAAAUAUGGCAACAAUUUACUUGAAGAAGCCAAAGGAGAAAUAAGAAAUUUAGAAAAUGUUAUUCAGUCACAGAGAGGCCAGAUAGAAGAGUUAGAGCACUUGGCUGAGAUCCUGAAAACUCAGUUGAGAAGAAAAGAAAAUGAAAUUGAGUUAUCUCUUCUUCAGCUUCGAGAACAGCAGGCUACAGAUCAAAGGUCAAACAUUCGGGACAACGUAGAAAUGAUUAAGCUUCAUAAACAACUAGUGGAAAAAAGCAAUGCUCUUUCAGUAAUGGAAGGAAAAUUUAUUCAGCUUCAAGAGAAGCAAAGAAGUCUCCGGAUCAGCCAUGAUGCCUUGAUGGCAAAUGAAGAUGAGCUAAAUAGGCAGCUCAAGGAGCAGCGUUUAAAAUGCUGCAGUCUUGAGAAACAAUUACAUUCCAUGACAUUUUCUGAAAAAAGAGUAGAAGAGCUGCAGGAUAGAAUUAAUGAUUUAGAAAAGGAACGGGAACUUUUAAAGGAAAACUAUGAUAAGCUUUAUAACAGUGCCUUCAGUGCUGCCCACGAAGAGCAAUGGAAGUUAAAGGAACAGCAGCUGAAAGUUCAGAUCGCUCAACUCGAGACUGCCUUAAAAUCUGACCUAACAGACAAAACUGAAAUCCUUGACAGAUUCAAAACCGAAAGAGACCAAAAUGAGAAACUCAGUCAAGAAAACAGAGAACUACAGUUACAGUAUCUGGAACAAAAACAACAACUUGAUGACCUUAAACACCGCCUAAAGUUUUACAACCAGGAGAGUGAUAUUAAUGCUGAGGAAUUGAGUGAAGCUCUCCUGCUUAUAAAGGCUCAAAAAUCACAAAAAAACGGAGACCUUUCCUUUUUAGAGAAAGUAGACAAUAAAACUAACAAAGAUCUAGAACGCUCCAUGAGAGAGCUACAAGCAACUCAUGCAGAAACAGUGCAAGAACUUGAAAAGACACGAAACAUGCUAAUUAUGCAACAUAAAAUUAAUAAAGAUUAUCAGAUGGAAGUUGAAGCAGUGACCCAGAAGAUGGAAAAUUUGCAGCAAGAUUAUGAACUCAAAGUGGAACAAUAUGUUCAUCUUCUUGAUAGCAGAGCUGCACGCAUUCAGAAACUAGAAGCCCAAUUAAAGGAUAUUGCCUAUGGCACCAAGCAGUAUAAAUUUAAACCAGAAAUCACACCAGAUGACUCCAUUGAUGAAUUUGAUGAAACUCUUCACUUAGAACGAGGCGAAAACCUAUUUGAAAUCCAUAUCAACAAAGUAACCUUUUCUUCUGAAGUUUUACAGGCAUCUGGAGAUAAAGAGCCUGUCACUUUCUGUACCUAUGCUUUCUAUGAUUUUGAGCUACAGACAACUCCCAUUGUGCAAGGCCUUCACCCAGAGUACAACUUCACUUCUCAAUAUCUCGUUCAUGUUAACGACUUAUUUUUACAAUAUAUUCAGAAGAAUACUAUCACUCUUGAGGUCCACCAAGCUUACAGCACAGAUUAUGAAACAAUUGCGGCAGGUCAGUUGAGAUUCCAUGAAAUCCUAGAAAAAAGUGGUCGAAUAUUUUGCACAGCAAGUUUGGUUGGAACUAAAGGAGACAUCCCAAAUUUUGGCACAGUGGAAUACUGGUUCAGAUUAAGGAUUCCCAUGGAUCAAGCAAUUCGACUUUAUCGAGAACGAGCAAAGGCUUUGGGAUAUAUAACAUCAAAUUAUAAGGGGCCAGAGCAAAUGCAAUGGUCAAGUCAGCCAGCACCCAAAACUUCUCAGCCCAGUUCUACUGAUUCCACAGAUGGCAACUUAAAUGAACUUCAUAUUACAGUCAGAUGUUGCAGCCACUUGAAGUCCCGAGCAAACCACCUUCAGCCACACCCAUAUGUUGUGUACAAGUUUUUUGAUUUUGCAGACCACGAUACAGCCAUCAUUCCCAGUAGCAAUGAUCCACAGUUUGAUGAUCAUAUGUGUUUCCCAGUGCCGAUGAAUAUGGAUUUGGAUCGGUACCUUAAGUCAGAGUCUCUGAGUUUUUAUGUGUUUGAUGAUAGUGAUACUCAAGAGAAUAUAUAUAUAGGAAAAGUCAAUGUGCCUCUGAUUUCAUUGGCACAUGACAGAUGUAUCUCAGGAAUAUUUGAGUUAACAGAUCAUAAAAAGCAUCCUGCAGGAACCAUCCAUGUUAUAUUGAAAUGGAAAUUUGCUUACCUUCCACCAAGUGGAUCUAUAACAACUAAAGACUUGGGAAAUUUUAUACACAAAGAAGAGUCAGAAGUUGAUCAAAGAGUACCUUCAACAUCCUCUGUUAGCCCAUUAGUUGUUGCACCAACACCUAAACCAAGACAGCGUUUAACACCUGGAGAUAAGAAAGUGUCUUUUGUGGAUAUCACACCACAGCAGAGUUCUGAGAUAACUACUCCUCCUGAAGAUGUGAAGGAAGUUUCGUCAGAAGUUGAGCAUACGCCAGAAAUAGAAACUGACAUGCCAACUCUUUCACAUGGUCCUGAGGUUUCUCAAGAAAGCAGUGGAGCUAAGGUAAAAGAGAAAAUACAGAAAGGAAAAGAUGAUGAUGUGUCUUUCCUGUCUGAGGGUCAGCUAGCAGAUCGAAGCUGGACUUCUUCUGAAGAUGAAACAGAAAUAACUGAGGAAUUGGAACCAGAAGAUGAGGAAGAGAGAUCUGCAUCUGACAGCGACGAGUGUAUUAUUCCAGGUCCUAUCUCCAAGAAUAUCAAACAGCCAUCAGAAAAAAUUCAGAUUGAGAUCAUAGCUCUAAGCCUUAAUGAUUCUCGAGUAACUGCAGAUGACACUAUCCAACGGCUGUUCGUGGAAUGCAGAUUCUACAGUCUUCCUGCUGAAGAGACACCUGUAUCACUUCCAAAACCCAAGAGUGGGCAGUGGGUCUACUAUAAUUAUAGCAAUGUGAUCUACGUGGAUAAAGAGAACAACCAAGCAAAGAGAGACAUCUUAAAAGCAAUACUACUGAAACAAGAGCUGCCGUACAGAAGAUUUUUUGUUGUUGUUGUUCCAUUUCGAAGAGCCACCAGUGGACUGAACCUGACAGUCUAACCUCCUGGAAAAGUGAGACCAUGUUCCUGGUAUUGUUACACCUUCUGUUCUUACCCUCUCAUUUUCCACAUAACAGACUUAUAUCUUUAAACCAUGUUUCUCCUUCAGUUUUUCUGAAGUAAAAAUCUGGUUCUCUCAGAUUGUGGCCUCUUUUCUGUGGUGGACACCCAAAGGCUUCUCUUCUGCCUUUUGCCCCUUCUCACUCUCUGUCGAGAUUGACCUCUCUCAUCCCUGUAACAGCAUCACCCCUCUUGAGUGAACACCACUGGUUUUCUUUGUAAGUCAAAUUCGCCAUCUUGAUCUUCCUCUUUCUGUCAUCUGUUCUGUUUAUACCUAUAUUCUCCCAUCCGUGUGUCCCCCUACUAAUUUUUAUGUCAAUCAAGGCACAUUUUUUUCCCUUUCUCUUGUCUUGGGCUAUAACCACUUCUUUAGAUACCAGCAUUGGUGAGAGCUCCAGUGACAUUCCCAAAAUAUGCCUUUGUGUGAAGACUUUUCUUAAUUUAACAUGACAGGAGCACUUUUAGUCGGCCAUUAUGAAACUGAGUGAACAGCAAGCUAAUUUUUGUGUCUUUGCUUUUUGUAGUGAAGCAACAGAGACUGGAACUCAGAAAGCUCUCAGGAAUCACUGAGGAAGAAAUUAAGACAAGCAAGAAUUUGGGGAGCUCUUCAUGAGGAAUCUACUCAAAGACCACCUUCAUCCAAUUAAGAAGUGAAUGAAAAAACUGUUAGAAGGACUGUGCACUAACAGGCUGGAGGCGAGACAUGUGUCAGAGCUGACCCAGUCUCUGAAGGGAUUCUGCAAGAGGAGCCUAGGAAGAGUGUCCCAAGGGAAUGGGAAAGGCCCCUGUGUACCAGGAAACACAAGAAAUCCUUCACAUGAUUCUUAUAUACAGACGUGCACCCAAGUGGCCAGAAGCCAGGAUGAAUACGGACAAGACCUGGGAUGACAGCCCGGGAUGCUCUGGAGCAGAAUGUCAGAGAAGGAGGUGAGAGCCCGUGGAAAUGGCCGGGACAGGGAGAGCGCAACCUACCCAGCCAGUAUCUUGGCUUCUAGGAGCCCGGUCGGCUUCAGAGAAAAUAAGAAAGUCUGAGUUUCCUGGUUGUUCACACUCAGAAACUAAAGCCAAAGAACUUCCCAACAUCUGGCUUUGACCGCACGAAACCCCCACCGCGCCUGCUGGGGCCCCAUUCAGUGAUGUUAUGGCUCCAUCUACAGCCGGAGGAAGGAGCUGGUUGCUGGAGUCUUCUGUGAGCCACCGCCAGGCCUUUCUGAGUUUCACAGGCUCCUUGCAAUUAAUGCUAAUAAGGCCCUCUCCCUCCCUAGCUGCGCGCUUUAUUCAACGCGGCUUUGGAACUACGCUGGAAGUUAUUUAUUUCAGGCUGUGUCUACAACAGCAGCUGUUCAGAAUAUACUAGAAACGCUUUUAGCCAAAAUUGGUUUGGAGUUUCUAUUUUAAACCACUGUUUGUAAUGAACAGGAUUAAACGGGGUUUUUUUUUUUUCUCCUCCACUUAUUUUUUUCUUUUUUAACAACAGAACAAAUAAAAGCCCUUAAGAGAGCAAGAUCGCAUUCUCUUUCAUUCAUUGAAUAAACAUGUAAUUAGCCACCUUCCCUGCAUCGGCCUCUGUGAUGGGCGCAGUGCCCCGUCAGGCCAAAUACGUCCCAUAACUGACUCAUCAGAGAACGUCUGCUACUUCCUCUGGUUGUCUGGAACCCCCACAUGGGUCAGAGAAAAAGGCAAGGAGAAAGUCCAGGGACAACAGCGGAGAUGGAGCUUAAGAGGCCUCCGAAACCUCGCGAGCUCAAUCCUUUGAUUUGCACAUGACAGAAUGGAAGCUGG